GGCUCAACUCCGGAUCUGCGGUGGGUACGGGCAGACUAGAGUGAUGUAGGGGAGACUGGAAUUCCUGGUGUAGCGGUGAAAUGCGCAGAUAUCAGGAGGAACACCGAUGGCGAAGGCAGGUCUCUGGGCAUUAACUGACGCUGAGGAGCGAAAGCAUGGGGAGCGAACAGGAUUAGAUACCCUGGUAGUCCAUGCCGUAAACGUUGGGCACUAGGUGUGGGGGACAUUCCACGUUUUCCGCGCCGUAGCUAACGCAUUAAGUGCCCCGCCUGGGGAGUACGGCCGCAAGGCUAAAACUCAAAGGAAUUGACGGGGGCCCGCACAAGCGGCGGAGCAUGCGGAUUAAUUCGAUGCAACGCGAAGAACCUUACCAAGGCUUGACAUGGACCGGACCGGGCUGGAAACAGUCCUUCCCCUUUGGGGCCGGUUCACAGGUGGUGCAUGGUUGUCGACAGCUCGUGUCGUGAGAUGUUGGGUUAAGUCCCGCAACGAGCGCAACCCUCGUUCCAUGUUGCCAGCGCGUAAUGGCGGGGACUCAUGGGAGACUGCCGGGGUCAACUCGGAGGAAGGUGGGGACGACGUCAAAUCAUCAUGCCCAUUAUGUCUUGGGCUUCACGCAUGCUACAAUGGCCGGUACAAAGGGUUGCGAUACUGUGAGGUGGAGCUAAUCCCAAAAAGCCGGUCUCAGUGUCGGAAUUGGGGUUUGCAACUCGACCCCA
rnacentral:rRNA from 1 species